rnacentral:lncRNA from 1 species
AUCCUCGUACCACAUAUACACCGGUGUAACACCACCCCUCAACCACCGUAACGCCGCCAUUCACCACCCUAAAACUACCACCGGAAAUCGCCUCACGACAGCGGCCGGUCACCAAAUGACCCCAAGUUUACACCGUCGAACCCUAUCAGCCUCCCCUUUCCCCUCCUACCAUUAGAUCCCCUCAAAUAUCUCCCCAGAUCGUCGAAUAUUCAAAAGAGUAGUCACCGUCUUAGCCGCCUACGGAGGCACCAACCCCAAACUGGUCCAAAUUAACACCCCUAAACCGUCUCGUUCCCCUCUUCCCACCCCUCUGGAUCUCGUCCCUCGAAUCCUUACUGAUCUCUUCGAAUAUUGAAUUGAAGUUCGGACCCAAACCCUAACCUCUCUGUAAUUACUCAAAAAUGGUCCCAUGUGACCAUCUCACCUUCCCAUCCACAACCCCAUGACCAACGACCUUCGAAUACAACCAGAUGUUGCCAAAAAUCAGAUCUGAAACCCAGACCCCAUCUCAAAGUCAAUCAACCCUAGCCUGAUACCCUUUCCUCUCUCCAAUAAUGAUACGAAGGUCUCAAGAGACCGAAGACCUUCUCAGAAAGGGUCGAACACUUGGAGACCUGAAGAGCCCCAUAUUUAGGGUUGCAUUUAAGAAAGCUAAGUUUCUCUUAUUUUUCUUCUGAGUGUUUUUAAUUUCCUUUGUUCGUCUUUUAAUUGCUUUAAUUUCCUGUGUUCUUCCUUAUAAUUGCUUUUUAGUUCUCUUCUGAUUUCUUUUGUUCUUCCUUCCAUUUGCUUUCGAGUUUCUUUGAUUUUGUUUAUGUAAAGG